rnacentral:rRNA from 1 species
CUACGUGCCAGCAGCCGCGGUAAUACGUAGGUCCCGAGCGUUGUCCGGAUUUAUUGGGCGUAAAGCGAGCGCAGGCGGUUAGAUAAGUCUGAAGUUAAAGGCAGUGGCUCAACCAUUGUAGGCUUUGGAAACUGUUUAACUUGAGUGCAGAAGGGGAGAGUGGAAUUCCAUGUGUAGCGGUGAAAUGCGUAGAUAUAUGGAGGAACACCGGUGGCGAAAGCGGCUCUCUGGUCUGUAACUGACGCUGAGGCUCGAAAGCGUGGGGAGCGAACAGGAUUAGAUACCCUGGUAGUCCACGCCGUAAACGAUGAGUGCUAGGUGUUAGGUCCUUUCCGGGACUUAGUGCCGCAGCUAACGCAUUAAGCACUCCGCCUGGGGAGUACGACCGCAAGGUUGAAACUCAAAGGAAUUGACGGGGGCCCGCACAAGCGGUGGAGCAUGUGGUUUAAUUCGAAGCAACGCGAAGAACCUUACCAGGUCUUGACAUCCCUCUGACCGCUCUAGAGAUAGAGUUUUC